UGCCCUAGUAACGGCGAGUGAAGCGGCAAGAGCUCAAAUUUGAAAUCUGGCUCCUUUGGAGUCCGAGUUGUAAUUUGUAGAGGGUGCUUUGGUGUCGGCUAUGGCCUAAGUUCCUUGGAACAGGACGUCACAGAGGGUGAGAACCCCGUAUGUGGCUGCUAGCCUUCACCAUGUAAAGCCCCUUCGACGAGUCGAGUUGUUUGGGAAUGCAGCUCUAAAUGGGAGGUAAAUUUCUUCUAAAGCUAAAUAUUGGCCAGAGACCGAUAGCGCACAAGUAGAGUGAUCGAAAGAUGAAAAGCACUUUGGAAAGAGAGUCAAAAAGCACGUGAAAUUGUUGAAAGGGAAGCGCUUGCAGCCAGACUUGCUCGUAGUUGCUCAUCCGAGCUUUUGCUCGGUGCACUCUUCUGCGAGCAGGCCAGCAUCAGUCCGGGCGGUUGGAUAAAGGCUCUGGGAAUGUAGCUCUCUUCGGGGAGUGUUAUAGCCCAGGGUGUCAUGCAACCAGUCUGGACUGAGGUCCGCGCAUCUGCUAGGAUGCUGGCGUAAUGGCUGUAAGCGGCCCGUCUUGAAACACGGACCAAGGAGUCUAACAUCUAUGCGAGUGUUUGGGUGUCAAGCCCGGGCGCGCAAUGAAAGUGAACGGAGGUGGGAACCCUUCGGGGCGCACCAUCGACCGAUCCUGAUGUCUUCGGAUGGAUUUGAGUAAGAGCAUAGCUGUUGGGACCCGAAAGAUGGUGAACUAUGCCUGAAUAGGGUGAAGCCAGAGGAAACUCUGGUGGAGGCUCGC
rnacentral:rRNA from 1 species